CUUGAAAUUCAAACAAGAGAAACUCAAAUAUUGGUUCUAAGCCCCACUUGAGAGUUGGCAGUUCAAAUUCAGAAAGUCAUUCUGGCUCUUGGUGAUUACAUGAAUGUUCAAUGCCAUGCGUGUAUCGGCGGCACUAAUGUUGGAGAGGAUGUUCGAAAAUUGGACUAUGGUCAGCACAUUGUUUCUGGAACCCCUGGACGUGUAUUUGAUAUGAUUCGCCGACGGACACUAAGGACACGUUCAAUUAAAAUGUUGGUCCUGGAUGAAGCCGAUGAAAUGUUAAAUAAAGGGUUCAAGGAGCAAAUUUACAAUGUCUACCGUUACCUUCCUCCAGCAACCCAAGUGGUUCUUCUUUCAGCCACAUUUCAUGACAGAUCCCAUUCGCAUUUUAGUCAAACGUGAUGAGUUGACACUCGAAGGAAUCUAACAGUUCUUUGUCGCAGCCGAAAGAGAAGAAUGGAGGUUUGACACGUUGUGCCAUCUUUACGAUACACUGACAAUCCCGCAGGCGGUUAUCUUUUGUAAUACUAAACGCAAGCCGAGUUCUUAUUACAACUGACGUUUGGGCUCGUGGUAUUGAUGUGCAACAAGUUUCGUUGGUCCCUAACAAACUGGCUGUCCUCAUUUAUCUAUAAUCCAUCUCGGAAAAGGAAACAAAUAAGUUGAUGCGUCAUGUUUUUAUUUUGCUGGAUUUUUCUUUCUGUAUCUCCAAAGAUUUCGACUUAUUAUAUGAAACUUGCGGCCGUGUAAUUGUCUUUUGCCAUUGUUGAAGUCUAUAAAUUUUACCUUAACUCGUAUAUCUGAAGUAAUAUAGGAACCUUUUUCCGUUUUGCG
rnacentral:lncRNA from 1 species